rnacentral:misc_RNA from 1 species
UUUCCGUAGGUGAACCUGCGGAAGGAUCAUUAAAGAGUAAGGGUCUUCGGGCCCGAUCUCUAACCCUUUGUUUAACUACCAUGUUGCUUUGGCGGGCCCGUCUCACGACCGCCGGAAGUUUGGCUUCGACCAAACUUCUGGCCCGUGCCCGUCAGUGGCCCCUUCAAAUUCUUGAUCAAGUAUGAUGUCUUAGUUAAAAACUUAAUAGAUAGAACUUUCAACAACGGAUCUCUUGGUUCUG